CAUAGUUACGUUUAUUCGGGUGCCCUGAGCAACAAGCUCUGGGCUUAAUAGGGAAGUCCGGUUCAAGUCCGGCGCGGUCCCGCCACUGUACGAGUGUAGUUCCCUGCAGCAGCCACUGUCCGAUCCGGAUGGGAAGGCGCAGAAGGACGUUGACGCUUCAGCCAGGAGACCUGCCCGAAUAAUCUCUCGUCA
rnacentral:ncRNA from 2 species